rnacentral:lncRNA from 1 species
GGGGUGUUUUAACAUAGAAAAAUCAGAUUUAAGAUGUGGGUUUGAGGAGCCCUUUCAAUGUGAGAAAGCUGCUGGUUUUAUGGGAAAAAUCAGAGAAAGGCUCCUUCCUUGGCAUCAGAAAAAGGGAGAGGAAGAAAGUCUUCCUCUUGGACUGAAGAAAAAGGAAGAGGUAUCUUCCUUCUUGUGCGUGAUUUUGAGAGAAGAAAGAUUCUUUUUAGAGGUAUGA